GUCUAUGGUCACACCGUCCAGAACAUGUCCGAUCUCGUCUGAUCUUGAAAGCUAAGCAGGGUUGGGCCUGGUUAGUAUGUGGAUGGGAGACACAGCAGGCAGGACAGCAUUCAUC
ensembl:rRNA 5S_rRNA 5S ribosomal RNA